rnacentral:rRNA from 1 species
GAUGAACGCUAGCUCCAGGCUUAACACAUGCAAGUCGAGGGGAAACGACAUCGAAAGCUUGCUUUUGAUGGGCGUCGACCGGCGCACGGGUGAGUAACGCGUAUCCAACCUGCCCAUCACUUGGGAAUAACCUUGCGAAAGUAAGACUAAUACCCAAUGACAUCCCACGAAGACAUCUGAAUGGGAUUAAAGAUUUAUCGGUGAUGGAUGGGGAUGCGUCUGAUUAGCUUGUUGGCGGGGUAACGGCCCACCAAGGCAACGAUCAGUAGGGGUUCUGAGAGGAAGGUCCCCCACAUUGGAACUGAGACACGGUCCAAACUCCUACGGGAGGCAGCAGUGAGGAAUAUUGGUCAAUGGGCGAGAGCCUGAACCAGCCAAGUAGCGUGCAGGAUGACGGCCCUAUGGGUUGUAAACUGCUUUUAUAAGGGAAUAAAGUGAGUCUCGUGAGACUUUUUGCAUGUACCUUAUGAAUAAGGACCGGCUAAUUCCGUG